GCCAUUUGUCCUGAUAUGGAAUAAUCACCAUUUAAUAGAAUGCCCUAUUUUGAUAGUGAUGCCUAGGGAAUUGCAGAGCUUCUACAAGUCUGUCAUCCAAAUAGACAGCUCCAUGAAUUUUAGAGGAAGUAGUGUCUGCACUGGGAUAAGGGUGGAGCUUGUCGCUUGCCCACCACUGAUAAUGGGGUAGUUGUCAGAAUCCUGGAAUCUGCACCAACCAGUAGUGAAGUAUUUCAUAUACUUUCUGCAUGCAUGACAGCUAAACACGGACUGAAAGCAGCUAGAGGAGCAGACAGAACGAACAUAAUAGUGAGACAUGUAGAGAAGGAAAUAAUAUUGCUAAAUCAUCAUAAGGUCAGAGACACUGCAUGCAAAAACCUGUCUGCCUGUUUAUGUUCUGCCAUUCAGUCAGUGAGGCAAAAAAAAGCUGGAAUCAAUCCCUGACUUGGGAUAAUUGCUCAGCAAAUGGGACACACAUAAUCCAUUUUCAUUAUUAAUACUUCAGUUAGGAGUCAGGUAACACAGAUUCAGUUUAUCAUAGGAGAGGAAGAUCAGAAUUUCCAAAGGAUGUAUGGUCUCAAAGAAAAUGUGGGUGAUGAUCUACAGAACGCAGGAAUCAAAUGUAUUUAAUGGCAAUACCAAAUAGAAAAAAAUGAAGCCCAGUAAGCAAGGUGAUCUGGCAUAGAUUUCAAAACAAGUUGCAGGGCUGUGAGCAUUAAAAUAGUUAAACCUUGAGCUUUAUUGUCAUUGUUGGGGUUGAAAACCUCCAUUGUGUUUGGUUCCCUGCCACAGAUGGGUCCAAACCAAAACUCUGGGAAUGUGGGUGGAUUCAGAAUUUAGUUAUUUUGUAGCUUUUCAUUCUGUUAUAGGAAAGGGAUGCGUUUCUAAAACUGAAGAGCCCUACUAUGCCAUUCCUUCAUCUCAUUUCCUCAAGCCCCCUUGCUGUGUGACCGUGGGACACGCAGUCAUUUGAUGAGAAUUGAGAUGGAUAUUGGCAGUUUGGGAGCUGUUGUUCCUGCUUUUGUAUGCAAAGAACAUAAUUGCUAAGGGCAUCAUCUGUUGUAAUUUACACAUCCACACACUGCACAGAUAAGGGAAUUUUCUUCUUAUGUGGACACAAUGCCUGACUUCUUCAUUGUUUGGAUUGCAGUUGCCCCUAGGCCUCAACUCAGAUCAGGCCCCA